UUUUCUCUGUCGUUCUUUUGAACUUUGUAAAACUCUGAUGUUGGAUUUUAUGGCCGAACUAAUUGAGUAAAACUUGUUUAACUCAGUGAACUUGUUGUAUUCUCUGUAACCGCUCACCUUCGUGUGGGUUUGCUAAACUCAAUCCUGUUUAAGUGGUUAAAUCGGAUGUAAUCCGACGGCACUUCGUGUUAGCUCAGGUUAGGCAGGAGUGUCGC
rnacentral:lncRNA from 1 species